rnacentral:rRNA from 1 species
UGCAAGUCGAACGCACUAGUUUACUAGUGAGUGGCGAACGGGUGAGUAACACGUAGGUAACCUGCCCUUAAGACGAGGAUAACCGUUGGAAACGAUGGCUAAGACUGGAUAGGAUGAUUAAAGGCAUCUUUGAUCAUUUAAAAGACCUAGCAAUAGGUAUGCUUAAGGAGGGGCCUGCGGCGCAUUAGCUAGUUGGUGAGGUGAGAGCUCACCAAGGCGAUGAUGCGUAGCCGGACUGAGAGGUUGAACGGCCACAUUGGGACUGAGAGACGGCCCAAACUCCUACGGGAGGCAGCAGUAGGGAAUUUUCGGCAAUGGGGGAAACCCUGGCCGAGCAACGCCGCGUGAAUGACGAAGUACUUCGGUAUGUAAAGUUCUUUUAUUAGGGAAGAAUGGCAGGUGGAAAAACCUGAUUGACGGUACCUAAUGAAUAAGCCCCGGCUAACUAUGUGCCAGCAGCCGCGGUAAUACAUAGGGGGCAAGCGUUAUCCGGAAUUAUUGGGCGUAAAGGGUGCGUAGGUGGUUCGUUAAGUCUUUGGUGUAAGUGCAGUGCUUAACGCUGUGAUGCUAAAGAAACUGGCGGACUUGAGUGUGGUAGAGGCAAGUGGAAUUCCAUGUGUAGCGGUAAAAUGCGUAAAUAUAUGGAGGAACACCAGUGGCGAAGGCGGCUUGCUGGGCCACAACUGACACUGAGGCACGAAAGCGUGGGGAGCAAACAGGAUUAGAUACCCUGGUAGUCCACGCCGUAAACGAUGAGUACUAAGUGUUGGAGAAAUUCAG